CACGCCGUAAACGAUGAUUACUGGGUGUAGGGAGUAUCGACUCUCUCUGUGCCGAAGCAAACGCGAUAAGUAAUCCACCUGGGGAGUACGGCCGCAAGGCUAAAACUCAAAGGAAUUGACGGGGACCCGCACAAGCAGUGGAGUAUGUGGUUUAAUUCGAGGCAACGCGAAGAACCUUACCAGGGAUUGACAUCCUGCGCUAGGCUUGGAGACAGGUUGUUCCUUCGGGACGCAGAGACAGGUGG
rnacentral:rRNA from 2 species